GGUAAAGCCCUUUGAACUUUCCAAAGAAAAAGCACUAAAGGAAAACACUAUUUUACCAUUAUAAGCUCCAAGUGGCCAGGCAGGGACCACACAGCCAGAAAACUCUCCUUCUGAAGAAAGGCCACGCCUCCGCUCCGAUGACACGCUUGCUAAUUAAAAUCACAAUUAGAACCAGCAGGGAAGAUGGAGGCCAGUGACUAAAACGCCCUUCCCCAGAAGCAGAAACACUCAGGACUGACUCACACAGGAUACAUCAGAUUUUCUCCAGCAGGCAUUUGGAGGAAAGAAAAGAAAUUCGAGUCCAGGCCUCCCUCCAUCUACUGACCCAGUAAACUCCAUGUCUGGGUUGGUGACACAUCCCUGACUCGCUGCCACCUCAGCAGAGUCCCAGCAGCAGGAAGAGCCAGCUUGGCUUCCUGUGGAUGGAAAUGUUUGCAUCUGCAUUUUUCAGCAAAGGAAAGUCUCAGAAUCUCCCCAGUUCCAGCAUGAGGAACAAUCACCAGUGAAGGGCCAUAUCCUGUCAGGCUCCCACUGGUGCCUUGGAAAUAUUUCACUGAAGCUGGGAUACUUUCCCAUUCUCCAACCCUCACACCAAGAAGAUGGCUUACCCAUUCCCAGGACUGCUCCAGUAUUCAGGAAUGUGCUAGAAUUUAUAAGCAGUUCCCACAUGAAGUGACUUGACCUGGUCCAUCUGUGAUGAAGUGGUGAAGCUAGGAGAUAAACACGGAUCUUCUGAAGCCAGCCUCAGUUUUAACUGUGCACGAGACAGGAAGCUCUCUCCUGUAAGCCUCCUGCACACUAACUCCAUCUCAGAGUGUGCUUCCCAGGAGACCCAGUCUGUGACACUCCCUCCUCAAAUCAAGAUGCAUCUCUGAUUCAGAUAUUGAGACUCACAAAUAGUGACCCUUCAUCAUGACAGGUAAAAACAGACUGUCUCCUAGAAAAAAACAGUUGGCUUCAUAAAGGCCAAGCGGUCACUCACUUCUGAAAUACAAAAUCAAUGGCAUGCCAUUAAGAAGAAAAUAUGAAGAACUUCCCAGAAGCACCAAAGAAAGGGGAUGUUGUCAUUGAGACUUUGGGAAUUUAAUGCCAUGCACAGGUAACAUAGAUGCUUUUAACUGGGACCUCCUGAAGAUAGUUCAUGACCCUUUGUGAAGAUGAUGUCAAGGAAGGCUGUACCUUGACUUCCAAAAAUAAAGAGGGUAAAUGGACUCUACCUUUCAGGAAGGCUGGGGUAGAGAAGGGUAAAGUGGGGCAUUCACAGAUUCCUAGGCACUUCUCU